UAGAUUAUUAAGUAGGGAUUAGGGAUUAAUUAAUCUAAUUAUCAAAAAGUGGGUCCCACGACACGUGGCGAGAUUUGGUUGGACUUGAAUAAAGAUGGACACAUGUCAUAAAAAAAAAAUUGACACAUGUCCACUUUGCAAAGAUGAUAUAUAUGAGCAAAGUGGAUGACUAAGUCAUCACUUACACAACAAUUAAUCUUGCAAAUUAGAUUUUAGAGAGAAGGGCUCUCAAGCCUAGAGAGAGAGAGAAGUUCGGGCACUGUUCACGACGCCGGAACUGUUCACGUCGGCGACUGUUCACGGCGGAACUGUUCACGGCGCACUGUUCACGCGCCACUGUUCACGGCCAAGAGGAGAAAAAUCCAACCCCAUUUCUAGCCUUCCCAAAAAUAAUUCCUUGGUGUUAACCCACUAUUUGGAGGUCCCUAAGUAGCGUGGAAGCAUUAUUGGAGCGAUCAAACCAUCCAUUUUUGUAAAUCGCAAACCCUAACUUUCUUGUGGAGUAGAGAACAAAGACCUUGGGGAGCCCGAGGCGUAGAUUGGGAUUUACUUUAGAUUGGUUAUCUUGGAGUGCGUACGAGGUACAGACGCACAGUUUGGUGAUCUACCCAUUUAGGACAUCCUCUUCUGCUGUUUGGAGUGCUCUUCUCAUUUCAGAGCACACAUUUUGGUAUACAUUUGUUCGCUAUGUAUAUAUGUAUUUGUUCAGGGGCACGGCGGGGCCCUGUCCCGCCAUAUGAUUCUGUCGGUCUGUUUAGAGGUCUGUGGACGUGUUUGUGGGUUAGGGUCUUUCUGUAUGGAUGUAUGUACAUGUCGUUUGGGCGAUCCCAUACGCCGAGGCGGCCGGUCCGCAUAUGUUGUUUGGGCGAUCCUAUACGCCGAGGCGGCCGGUCCGCAUAUGUUUAUAUAUUGCUUGGUUAGCCCUGUGUGGCUUUUGUUGGUAUUUUCUGCGUGCAGGGUAUAUUGGAUAGUCCGUAAAACAAAGGAAACUCUGCCGAAAUUUUUCUGGAAAUUACCUAAAUCUGAAAUAAAGCCUUGUCGGCUUCCGCCAUAUACUAGAAUGAGUUGAUAGAAUUUGAGAUAAUAUUUGAUAGA